rnacentral:lncRNA from 12 species
GCUGUAAGUACUGACUCUGAACUUUUUAAAACUCCUUUAUCUUCUAGCGUCUAACACAUUUCAGUUUGUCUAGGGAGGAAAAACAACCCUCUUAUGAUGAGGCUAUUAUUUGUUUAAAAUAGUUUUCUAUGAAUGAGUGCAUUAAGAAAGUAACAUUUGGGGAUGUAUAGAAAGAACACAGAUGGUACCAGGGGAUGAUGACAACAUAACCGACUUCAACGAGACGGAAAAGCAGGUCCCAACUUGCUCUGUACAUCCGCCCCUGGGAGGAGGUGUGUUCUUCAGUGGGGAGCUAAAAACCAACAUCGGUCCACUCAGAUAAAGGUUUGUCAAGACACCUUAUGGUCCUGUACACGUUUCCAGGUGACUGCCAUCCUCAGCGAGCCUGAGAGCGCCUCGUCAAUAGGAUCAGGUGAGGUGGGAAUGGCCAGUGAUACAGGUCUGAUCUUCUGAUCGGAGGUGAAAUGAAAAUAUAAUCUCUUAACCCAAACUGUGCUUUGAAAAUGCAGAGAUGGAGUCUUUGUCCUGUCAUCAUUUUGCCUUCCUUCCCUGCAAAUGACAGGUGAGGUGGCCCCCUGCCUAUCGAGUAUGCAGAUCUGCGGAUCGUUAAAUAAGAAAGAGGACAGCUUUUCAUUAUUUAUUGAGCCAGAACGUACAGCACAUGAAAUCUGUGGGCUGCAGACAGGGUUUCCAUGGAAACUAUUCUAUAGGAGAGAAUGUCUGACCAGGCUGGAAGAUUCGUUUGCAAAUCCCACCACCAUCUUGACUUCAAAAGUAAUUUGCAUGAUACUACUUUAAAAACAAGAUGAAAGUCAAGGAUCCUCUCUCCUAGAAAAACGUACAUCUCACAGGUUUUUAGUGGAUUCUAGAAGACCGGGGGACAAACUCCAGGUUAAGAACCAUGAAGUCUAUACUAAAGAACAGUAUUUUCCUAAUCUAAUAUAAAAUAUUUUAACAGUUCUUCUGGGCCCCAUGACCUUCUCAUAGAUUGUCUUCUUAGCAAGACCAGAGCUAUCUCUGAGAAAUGUGCACCACCUUGAUUUCUGCCAGUUGUCAUCCAUGACAAGUAUUUCCCAAAAUGUGUUCUGGAAAGUAAAGACAUAGAGAAAUGUUCUAUGAAGAAAAAUAAAUAUGAGAAAUUAUAUAUUUUAUAGUCCA